rnacentral:rRNA from 1 species
CAAUAGCGUAUAUUAAAGUUGUUGCAGUUAAAAAGCUCGUAGUUGGAUUCUGGUGGGAGCGAUCGGUCUGGCGCUUAGCGCGAGUACUUGCAUCGUCUCCGGCCAUCCUUGGGGAGAGUCUGUCUGGCAUUAAGUUGUCGGGCAGAGGAUCCUCAUCGUUUACUGUGAAAAAAUUAGAGUGUUCAAAGCAGGCUUAUGCCGUUGAAUAUAUUAGCAUGGAAUAAUAAGAUAGGACUUUGGUACUAUUUUGUUGGUUUGCGCACCAAAGUAAUGAUUAAUAGGGACAGUUGGGGGUAUUCGUAUUCCGUUGUCAGAGGUGAAAUUCUUGGAUUUACGGAAGACGAACUACUGCGAAAGCAUUUACCAAGGAUGUUUUCAUUAA